GGGACCAACUCCAUAUUAAUGCCCAUGAUUUUGGAAUCAGAUGUUCGAUGAGCAGGUGCCCACAUACAUUUGGUCAUGUAGUGUAACUCCUCCGGGGGGCACCUUAAAUCGCAGCAGUAAAUCCUGUCAGAACCAUCCAGGGUAAGCACAUUAGAAUUAAUUUCAGUCCAUAAAAGAAAUGUCACACUCUCUUUACUUCUUCAUAUCUUUUUGGGUUUCCGUUAAAGAGGGCCUCCCGGGUGGUGCAGUGGUCUAAGGCACUGCAUCGCAGUGUUAGCUGUGCCACCAGAGACCUCUGGGUUCGAGCCCAGGCUCUGUCGCAGCCGGCUGCGCCCGGGAGCCCAUGGAGCGGCGCACAAUUGGCCUAGCAUCGUCCGGGUUAGGGAGGGUUUGGCCGGCAGGGAUAUCCUUGACUCAUCGCACACUAAUGACUACUGUGGCGGGCCGGGCGCAGUGCAUGCUGACCAGGUCGCUAGGUGUACAGUGUUUCCUCCAACACAUUGGUGUGGCUGGCAUCCAGGUUGGAUGCGUGCUGUGUUAAGAAGCAGUGUGGCUUGGUUGGGUUGUGUUUCGGAGGACGCAUGGCUCUCGACCUUCACCUCUCCUGAGUCCGUGCGGGAGUUGUAGCGAUGAGACAAGACAAUAACUACUAACAAUUGGAUACCACAAAAUUGGGAAGAAAAAGGGGGUAAAAAAAUAUAUAUAUACCUUUGGGAAUGUUUUGUGUGAUGAAGGUGACGAUAGCUAGGGAAUAUUAUGAACAGUUAAAUGGUUACGUUCAAAAAGUAUGAGUAGUAUUAAAAAGCCGUUGACAAGUAAUCUAUGUUGGGUCAUUCUGAAGAUCUCAACGUUGGUUUGGUGUUGAGAGCUUCAACGGUGUAAGAAGAGAUUUUUCCCAUGUAAGGAUUCCAAAAGGGUUCUAGAUAGCACCACUUUUUCAAGAGUGUAGGGCCCUUUUAUUACCAUUGAAAUACAUUGGGAGCUAAUUUAAAUAUUGUUGUAGUACAAAAAGUAUAAAUGCUAUCAAAAAUAUUUUCAUGUCAAUAGCUUAAAUCAUGUAAGCAGUAGAGAGGGCUAAAUAAAUGGACUAAUAAGACUAUGAGAGAAAUCUAGAGUUGUGCUUUGCUUUCAGCAAGGCAGCAGGCUAGUCAGCAUCCAUAAUUCAAAUACUAAUAAUAAUAUUUAAUUUGUAGAGCACAUUUCCCACGCUCA
rnacentral:lncRNA from 1 species